AUUGUAUUCAGGUGUCAACUAGAUGUUGAUGAAAAGGGAAUGCGAUAAUAUUUUUUAAUGUUUGACGUAGCUGCCCCCGCAACUGUAAUUGAUGAGAAAAUCCUAAUUGCCACUGUAAUGUUUAUGGGAAGGCCGGAUAAUCGAUAAAUCAUAAGCCAGGAGACCUGCCUGAACAG
rnacentral:ncRNA from 1 species